AUGUAUGAGGAUGCCGGUGUCUCAUCAAACAUGUAUUGUGUGAGGACACCCUUCGUCCGACCUAAUCUUGCCGAUCAUCCGCAGCAGCACUUCAAAACUCCCAGGUUGUUUUCAUCAGCAAGCUUACAGCUGACCACAUGGUGGAACUCGAUAAUACAACACUAUACGAUGCACCUGAGAUUCCAAUGGAUACCUGUCGAAGCGAUGUGGUCAUCAGCAUGUAUGCUCUCAGUCUCCUGUGAACAAGUACAGAAAAUGCUCCAGCGCGGCUUCCUCUGGGCUGGCCGUGCUGCUGCCAAUGGUGGACACUGCCAUGUGAACUGGAGCAGAGUGUGCCGCCCCAUCGAGCUCGGGGGCCUUGGCGUGCGAGACCUCAAGCGGGACGGCCUCGCCCUGAGACUACGCUGGCUAUGGUUUUCAAGAACGGACCCGGAGCGAGCAUGGCAAGGGCUCGACCUCCAAUUUUCGCCCACGGAACGAGCCCUGUUCUGGGCAUCCACGUUCACGAUCCUCGGGAAUGGGCUGUCCGCCCUGCUCUGGGAGGACCGGUGGAUUGGCGGCCGAUCCGUGCGCGAGCUCAUGCCUAAUCUCUACGGCUGCAUCCCCAAGCGACGACGGACGACGAGAACUGUGGCGGAUGGGCUCAAUGGCAACUCCUGGGCACGCGACAUCCAAGGAAACCUCGGUCUCCACGAGAUUGGUCAGUAUCUGCAACUCUGGCAGAUCAUGCAGCGCACCGAGCUUUCCACCGCACCGGACAAGUUGAUCUGGCGUUGGACAGCGAGCGGCAGCUACUCUGCGCAGUCCUGCUACACGGCGACCUUCCAUGGAGCAACGGCCUGCCACUCAUGGAAGCUGAUUUGGAAAUGCUGGGCGCCACCGCGAGUCAAGUUCUUCCACUGGCUGGCCAACCAGGACCGAUGCUGGACGGCUGAGAGGCUGGCUCGCCAUGGCCUCCAGCAUCACCCCCGCUGCCUCCUAUGUGACCAGCAGCCGGAAACGGUGCGACACCUCAUGCUGGAAUGCCCCCUCACCCGUCAGGCAUGGCACGAGACACUGGCCUGGCUUCGCAUCCCGGCCCCGAUCCCCUCGCAGGAACCAUCGCUUACGGACUGGUGGAGACAGGCCAACGAAGACACGCCGCCGACCCUGCGCAAGGCCCUGAAAUCUGUUGCGUUGCUCGUGCCAUGGAUGGUCUGGAAGCACCGAAACAGCUGCGUCUUUGACAAUGCGAUGCCUUCCCUCAACACACUCCUAGAUAGCAUUAGGGACGAGGCCCGCUCAUGGGCAGCAGCUGCGGCACCUGGCCUCCGACUUGUGCUGCCCCAAACCUGGGAUGUGCACUAA
rnacentral:rRNA from 1 species